GUAACCCAAGCAAAGGGGAAUGAAUACAUAUAUAACAACAUAAGAUUAUGCUAUUGUCAUUUCAGUUCAAUUUAUCACAUGCCUAGUAACCGACUGACUAGAAAUGCCACUCCAACAUUAAAUAUUGAUGACAGUACCGUCGCGAAGAGGUACUUACCUGAUGCUCAUGCCACCAAGGACCAAAUUAAACUCGUAAGAGAGGCCAUGGUUGAACGGUUGAAUAGGACACUUAACGCUGUCUCCGAAUGGGGCGAUGCCAAUCUUGCCUUAUUACUGCGAACUGCGAAAAA